UGGUAUCCGUGACAUUUGAAUCUGCACCAU
rnacentral:piRNA from 1 species